GAUGAAGAACGUAGCGAAACGCGAUAGGUAAUGUGAAUUGCAGAAUUCAGUGAAUCAUCGAAUCUUUGAACGCACAUUGCGCCCGCUAGUAUUCUGGCGGGCAUGCCUGUUCGAGCGUCAUUUCAACCAUCAAGCCCUUUAGCUUGUGUUGGGGACCUGCGGCUGCCGCAGCCCCCGAAAUGCAGUGGCGGGCUCGUUGUCACACCGAGUGCAGUAAUCAUUCUUCUCUCCGGGCGUGGCGGCGGGUUCCGGCCGUAAAAUCACCAAUUUAUCAAGGUUGACCUCGGAUCAGGUAGGAAUACCCGCUGAACUUAAGCAUAUCAAUAAGCGGAGGA
rnacentral:misc_RNA from 1 species